AUAAUGAUACUCCCGUCCUUUGAUUCGAAGGGCGGCUCGGAGUGAUCCUCGGAGGGGUGAGAGUCCCGUGA
rnacentral:ncRNA from 1 species